rnacentral:misc_RNA from 1 species
AGCUUGGAAUGGCACCCACCCGUCCUUGUCCCACAGGAUACUGAGGUCGAGACGGAGGGGAGAUUUAUUUGUUUUAAAAAAUAAUUUAUAAAUUAGAAAUAUAAAUUUAAAAUGAUUUUAAGAAUAUUAUUUUUAAUGAAAAAUAAUAAUACAUUUCUAUCAAGCCCUCGGGUAUUGGAAAAACCUGAUCGGUGCGAGACAGAUGGAUUUUUUUUUUUUGUUCGGAACAAUUGCCAUCCUUAAAUUCACAGUCAGCUGAGCAAGGUUAUAUCUAAUAAUGGAAUUUCAAGCUCACGUUCACACUGCCAUAAAGUUCUUUCUAUUUCCAGGAAAGAUUCAGAUUCUCUUUUAAGUUUUGAAGUCAUACAAUCUCUCCAUUCUCCAUGCACAUGCUUGUAACGGUGCAAUUUUAAUUCUUGCCGUUUAUUUCUUUUUUUCAUUCUUUCCUUAUUCUGUAGCUAUUUACUAUUUCCUUGGAAUCUCUUUUUCUGUUCUUGUAAGAUGGUUGGUUUUUGUUAUAAUGUAUAGGAUCUUGCUGUGAAAAAUAUUUGCUCGGUUUGUUUAGUUUUCAUCAUUGCUAUCGAUUAUUAUGGUAGUUUAAGUCUGCACGCAGAGUGAGCUUGUUGUAUUUAUAUUGGGUUUUACCGUCUUUUGAUGACGAACAUGGUGUUUGACUUUGGCUGCAUGAUUUAGAUCACAUUCACACCCUAACAAUUAAAAAUCGUCUUAUAUAAUGCUUUUUCUCGUCUCUUUUGUUGGACCCAAAACAUUUCGUUAAUCAAAGAGCACAGGAAUCAGCGCAAAGUUAAGGGAAUUUUUAUAUAAAUCCCAAGUGGUGAUUUGCAGAGCUUGCUUGUAAUCCUCUGUAGCGGUUGUUUCAAACAAAGUGAUUAUGGACAACCAUGUUAGAGGCAUAGCUCCUAACGACCUUCAGGGAAAGUUUUCUGCUAUGGUGGUGUGUUUUCUUCUUGGAAAUGGAUGCCUCUUUUCAUGGAAUAGUAUGCUUACAAUAGAAGAUUACUAUGGUUACCUUUUCCCGCGAUACCACCCCUCAAGGGUUCUUACUCUUGUGUAUCAGCCAUUUGCAUUUUUAACACUUGCAGUCCUUGCAUAUCAUGAGGCAAAACUGAAUACCAGAAAAAGGAACCUGUUUGGAUAUGUCCUAUUUUUCAUCAGCUCUCUUCUUGUUUUAGUUUUGGAUUUGGCUACAUCAGGAGGAGGAGGCCUUGGAACUUUUAUUGGAAUUUGUGUCAUUAGUGGUUUAUUUGGAGUUGCAGAUGCUCAUGUGCAGGGGGGAAUGAUUGGAGACCUCUCCUUCAUGCAACCUGAAUUUCUGCAGUCAUUCCUUACUGGUUUGGCAGCAUCAGGGACUCUAACCUCUGUUUUGAGGUUAAUUACAAAAGCAGCAUUUGAGAAUUCUAAGAAUGGUCUUCGCAAGGGAGCUAUUCUAUUUUUUGCGAUCUCUGCAUUUUUCGAGCUUCUUUGUGUUAUUCUCUAUGCUUAUGCCUUCCCAAAAUUACCCAUUGUGAAGUACUACCGCUCAAAGGCAGCCUCAGAAGGUUCAAAAACUGUCGGCUGAUCUUGCUGUAUUAGAGUAUAAAUUAUACAGCUCUCUCCGCGCCCUUAGAAUAUUUAUUUAAAAUAGUGUUUGUGGUAAUUCAUCAAGAC